rnacentral:rRNA from 1 species
CAAUAGCGUAUAUUAAAGUUGUUGCAGUUAAAAAGCUCGUAGUUGAAUUUCUGGCGGGCGCGCCGGUCUUCCAAGUGUUGUACUGGGCGCAGUCCGCCAUCCUUGUGGAGAGGGCUCGCAUUGAGUUGCGUGUCGGAUCUGCAUCAUUUACUGCGAAAAAAUUAGAGUGUUUAAAGCAGGCUGUCGCUUGAAUACAUUAGCAUGGAAUAAUAAGAUAGGACUUCGGUCUAUUUUGUUGGUUGCGAACCGAGGUAAUGAUUAAUAGGGAUAGUUGGGGGUAUUCAUAUUUAAUUGUCAGAGGUGAAAUUCUUGGAUUUAUGAAAGAUGAACAACUGCGAAAGCAUUUACCAAGGAUGUUUUCAUUAA